CCUACGGGAGGCAGCAGUGGGGAAUAUUGCACAAUGGGCGCAAGCCUGAUGCAGCGACGCCGCGUGAGGGAUGACGGCCUUCGGGUUGUAAACCUCUUUCAGCACCGACGAAGCGCAAGUGACGGUAGGUGCAGAAGAAGGACCGGCCAACUACGUGCCAGCAGCCGCGGUAAUACGCAGGGUCCGAGCGUUGUCCGGAAUUACUGGGCGUAAAGAGCUCGUAGGUGGUUUGUCGCGUUGUCCGUGAAAUCCCACGGCUUAACUGUGGGCGUGUGGGCGAUACGGGCAGACUGGAGUACUGCAGGGGAGACUGGAAUUCCUGGUGUAGCGGUGGAAUGCGCAGAUAUCAGGAGGAACACCGGUGGCGAAGGCGGGUCUCUGGGCAGUAACUGACGCUGAGGAGCGAAAGCGUGGGGAGCGAACAGGAUUAGAUACCCUGGUAGUCCACGCCGUAAACGGUGGGUACUAGGUGUGGGUUUCCUUCCUUGGGAUCCGUGCCGUAGCUAACGCAUUAAGUACCCCGCCUGGGGAGUACGGCCGCAAGGCUAAAACUCAAAUGAAUUGACGG
rnacentral:rRNA from 1 species